rnacentral:rRNA from 1 species
AACGAACGCUGGCGGCAUGCCUAACACAUGCAAGUCGAACGAGACCUUCGGGUCUAGUUGCGCACGGGUGCGUAACGCGUGGGAACCUUCCCUUAGGUUCGGAAUAACUCCCCGAAAGGGGUGCUAAUACCGGAUAAUUUCUUCGGACCAAAGAUUUAUCGCCCUUGGAUGGGCCCGCGUUGGAUUAGCUAGUUGGUAGGGUACAAGCCUAACAAGGCGACGAUCCAUAGCUGGUCUGAGAGGCUGAUCAGCCACACUGGGGAUGAGACACGGCCCAGAAUUCGACGAGAGGCAGCAGUGGGGAAUAUUGGAACAGGGGCGAAAGACUGAGCCAGCGAUGCCGCGUGAGUGAUGGAGGCCUUAGGGUUGUAAAGCUCUUUUACCCGGGAUGAUAAUGAGAGUACCGAGAGAAUGCGCGCCGGCUAACUCCG